rnacentral:rRNA from 1 species
ACUCCUACGGGAGGCAGCAGUGGGGAAUUUUGCGCAAUGGGCGAAAGCCUGACGCAGCAACGCCGCGUGAGUGAUGAAGGCUUUCGGGUCGUAAAGCUCUGUCAGGGGGAAAGAAGUGUAUUGUGGCUAAUAUCCACGAUACUUGACGGUACCCUUCCAGAAAGCACCGGCUAACUCCGUGCCAGCAGCCGCGGUAAUACGGAGGGUGCAAGCGUUGUUCGGAAUUAUUGGGCGUAAAGAGCGUGUAGGCGGUUUGUUUAGUCUGAUGUGAAAGCCCUGGGCUCAACCCAGGAAGUGCAUUGGAUACUGGCAGACUUGAAUACGGGAGAGGGUAGUGGAAUUCCUAGUGUAGGAGUGAAAUCCGUAGAUAUUAGGAGGAACACCGGUGGCGAAGGCGGCUGCCUGGACCGAUAUUGACGCUGAGACGCGAAAGCGUGGGUAGCAAACAGGAUUAGAUACCCUGGUAGUCCACGCCGUAAACGAUGAGAACUAGGUGUCGCGGGUA